GAAAAAAGUUGACACCCAUGAUUUUCACUUAUUCCGCGUUUUGCUUUCAAGCUGGGUAGACGCACACAUUAAAUCUUGUCCGGAGAAAAUGGGAACGUACAAAACACCCUCCCUGCAAUGCACUGUGCUGGGGUUAACAGCAAUCUUAAUCUCUGCCUCAGGGUCUCCAAUGCAAGUAACUGUGGGUCAGAGUGUCCUUUUUUCCUGCCCCUGCACCUGUCAAGACAGACAACCAGUAAAAUACUUUCAUUGGCAACAAAACGUAAAAAUCCUGUCAUAUCAAGAGGACAAGCUAAAAAUCGAGAAAGGAUAUGAAGACAGGGUCACCAUCUUUACAAAUGAAGACAAGGAAAACUGUUCCCUGAGUCUCUCUAAUAUCAAUGUUGGAGACAAUGGAACAUACCGGUGCUACUUUGAGUGCAGUGCUUUGGAUUACAAAUUUAUAGAUUUAAAUGUGGUUGCCAACUACAGUGUUUGUAUGAACCCUGUUCAAAACCAGGAUACUGUGGGAUCUAAUGGAAAAAAGGAGUACCAGUGCAAAGCCUCAGAUGGCUACCCAAGGGGCCGGAUUUACUGGGAAGUGGAUGGGCGCCCUCAGAAUGGAAGCUCGAUGGAGAUUCACAAGGACAACUCUACAGGCCUCUACACUCUGACCAGUAAUCUGGCCAUUGAGCUUAACAAGGGUGUAGAACUACUGUGUGUGGUGGAGCACAAAGGCCAGGUCUAUCACACCAGCUCCCAUUCUAUGUGCACCAACAAGCCUGAUGGCUGCACAUCACCAGCAGAUGACAUGGCACCCAAAAUCGUCACAGACUGUGGAAACGUCACACUGGACUUCAAGCAACUUGGAUUCUCUGCCUCUCCACUCUUCCUCCAGGCUCUGGGACCUUGAUUUACAAAUUAAAUGUGAAAUUUAUGUUUGUCUGAGGAGAGGACUUUGGACCACUGAGCAUCGGUCCAGUUCUUUUUCUCCUUCGCCCAGAGGCUUUUAUCGGACCUGCAGUAGGGGUGUCUGUGGGGAUGUCUGUGGGGGUGGUUGUGGUGAUUGUUGCAGGAGUUCUCUUGAUGUUCCUACUGACUAGACCCCACCGACAUGGAAUAUCCCCGAUGUUUUUUUUUAAGCAGCAGAGUGACACAGAGAUUCAGGACAUUGAAAUAGCUGUGUCGUUAAAAGCAGAUGACGCUUGACUUUGUGGAUUCUCUACUUCCUUUGGCGCAUAAGAAAAUGGAGGAAUAAUCACUUGCAACCAGAGGAACUGAAACUUUCACUGCAGCAGUAUUGAGCAAUGUGUCGUUCCAUCAUGUGUGAAGUAUUCAGGGGCGAAAAAAGGCCUACAGCACCUGAAAGUUGUUCAUAUGGAUUUGCUUUAGUUUGAAUGUAGCCCCCAAGUAAUGAAUAUUAUGGCCAUGGUGGCAAGGUUAGAAAGGAGCAGCACGAUGAGAGAAAUGACUGGUCAAUGGACUGAACUGGCUAGACUUGCCUGAAUUAAGCUGGCAGACAUCCAUCAUGUUGGCCAAAGUCAGCUUGAGCCUGUAAAUUGCCACUGUAGAGUUGAGUAGGUGUUUUCACAAUGAAGGGAAACAUUCAACGUAGUUUUAUAUUUACAACUAUGAACUAAUCAUGUCAACGUUUCUAUAUUACUCCAGGUUCACUGUGUUGGUCAAAUGGAGAUAUUUGUGGUCUGAAUAAAGAAACCCCUUCUAAAUGUCAAACUGCUGUGGGGGAUCCCCAGGCCUACUGCUGAAACCUUUCAGAAUAGACUGGUUGCAAUUAGAGAGAAUCUGCAUCAGGAAGUCACCACUUCCUAAACCUUUUGAAUCAAGUGUUUUAUUCAAUGUAUUUGUUUUUACCUUAGGCCAACUAAAUUAUUUUUACAUACCAGUCUGUUCCUAUGUGAAUUGAAUUUAAAUGUGAAAUCAAGAUUGUUUGUUGCAAGGCUUCCACUUGCAAAUGUCAAACUAAUCCUCUGCAGCUGUAUGCCUGCUGUAUAACAGAGCCCAUUUUGUUUUAUUAACCAUAUUGGUUGGGGAAAGAAAACAAUGUUUAGUUUGGGGGGGAACUUUUUUACUGAGACUUGACUAACCAAUCCAAGCUCCAAAUGUUUUUAUACCGCUUUUAUACCACUUCUAUUAAGUGACUGUACCAAGACCGACUUAAUAAAAAGUGUAUGUGGGGUG